rnacentral:rRNA from 1 species
UACGAAGGGGGCUAGCGUUGUUCGGAAUUACUGGGCGUAAAGCGCGUGUAGGCGGGUCUUUAAGUCAGGGGUGAAAUGCCAGGGCUCAACCUUGGAACUGCCUUUGAUACUGGAGACCUUGAGUCCGGGAGAGGUGAGUGGAAUUGCGAGUGUAGAGGUGAAAUUCGUAGAUAUUCGGCGGAACACCAGUGGCGAAGGCGACUCACUGGCCCGAUACUGACGCUGAUGCGCGAAAGCGUGGGUAGCGAAUGGG